rnacentral:rRNA from 1 species
GACGAACGCUGGCGGCGUGCUUAACACAUGCAAGUCGAACGAUGAAGCCGGAGCUUGCUCUGGUGGAUUAGUGGCGAACGGGUGAGUAACACGUGAGUAACCUGCCCUUGACUCUGGGAUAAGCGUUGGAAACGACGUCUAAUACCGGAUACGAGCUAGGACCGCAUGGUCACUAGCUGGAAAGAAUUUCGGUCAAGGAUGGACUCGCGGCCUAUCAGCUAGUUGGUGAGGUAACGGCUCACCAAGGCGACGACGGGUAGCCGGCCUGAGAGGGGGACCGGCCACACUGGGACUGAGACACGGCCCAGACUCCUACGGGAGGCAGGAGUGGGGAAGAUUGCACAAUGGGCGAAAGCCUGAUGCAGCAACGCCGCGUGAGGGACGACGGCCUUCGGGUUGUAAACCUCUUUUAGCAGGGAAGAAGCGCAAGUGACGGUACCUGCAGAAAAAGCACCGGCUAACUACGUGCCAGCAGCCGCCGUAAGAC